rnacentral:pre_miRNA from 1 species
AUAUACACCACCAGAGGAUCUUAUUAAAAUGCAGAUCCACAUUCAAAGUCUGUAAUUUUGCAUUUCUAAUGAGCUCCGGGGUGGUGCCUUU